GUCUUAGAAGCUCACCAAAGGACUGCCUCAUAGGUACAAUUCCUCACAGAGCAUCAAGUCAGAGCACUAUGGGUAGCCAUUCAGCACCAUUCAGCGCCACUGUCAGUAGGGAAUUCUCCAGUGGUCUACGGGAGCCGGUGAUGAAUCCAUCCCAUAAUGUGGCCAACCAUGGGAA